rnacentral:lncRNA from 1 species
GUUUUAUCCAGCCCAGGGUGAAAUGCAGGAAACGAGAUCCUUGGGAGCAAAAACCCAGAUUUCAAAUGUUAUUUCAUGUUUUUGACUUCAAUUGUGAUGAAAGAAGACUGGGUGAAGAGUGGAAAGGAAGCGAUGGCUGGUUUUCCAGUUUGAAAAGGAAGCCAGAAAAGAGAGCAUGGGAGUCUUUCCUCCACCAUCUCCCCCAGAACUCUAAAUUUACCAAUUUUCAUACCUUAAAUGAGAGCAAUGAACUCCAAAAUCACCUCCUUAAAGGGUAUGGAACCCCAGUAAAAGAGAACAGUCUGCUGGCACGGGAUAAGAGGCUGCACAAAGUAAUGAGCUCCCUUCCUGCCUUAAUGACAACAGUCAGAGUGAUUGUAAUGAAGAUGCAAUGGCCAGUCUUAAAGAGUGGGUGGAAUAUUGCUAGGGAAGAAAGGAGUCGACACCAAGGCUGGGAUGCA